rnacentral:lncRNA from 1 species
AUCGCUCACGUGGCUGUGUGCUGACGUGGUCUUGUUCACUCCCACACUCCUCCUCAAGGCCAACGUCUAAAGUCAGCCCAAGAGCCUUCGUGAAGACUUCAUGUUUAACACGAGGAAGUGGUUUUGUUAGCACGUCCGCUAGCAUGGAGUUUGUCGGGCAGAACUCCAGCUCGAUCAUUCCUCUCUGGAUCUGCUCUCGUAUGAAAUGGAAGCGCAGCUCAAUAUGUUUAGUACGAGAGUGGAACCUGGAGUUCUUGGUCAAAGCUAUUGCAGACUGGUUGUCACACAAUAGCCUAACCACGCCCGUGUUGAUUUGUAGAUCCUGGAGAAGUCCCUUCAGCCACGCUGCUUCCUUGGUUGCAGCUGCUGCAGCUAUGUACUCAGCCUCAGUACUCGACAUCGCUGUAAUAGCCUGUCGUUUGCUGCACCAGCUUGCGACAUUUCCAUUUAGCAGGAAAACGUAGCCUGUGGUUGACUUCCUGUUGUCUGGAUCCCCGGCCCAAUCAGCAUCAGAGUAACCAACCAGCUUAUUGCCGCUCUCGCCUCUGGAGUACUUUAAAGUUAGCUGGUUAGUCCCUGCCACGUACCUCAUAAUACGUUUCAAAGCCUGCCAGUGUGCUGUGGAGGGACGGUCCAGGUACUUCGCCACUGUUCCCACAGCAUACGCAAGGUCAGGCCGAGUGGAGAUUACCAGGUAGAUCAGGCUGCCGACCAUAGAGCGAUAGACUGCUCUAGAUGCUUUCUCCUCCUCGGGAGAUUGAUCAAGGUACUCUCCACUCUCAGCAGAUAAUUUCGUGCCUGUUUCCAUGGGAGUAGCAACCGGAUUAACAUGAGCAAGGCCAUACCUCUGGAGCACGUCGGAAACAUAUUUUGCCUGGCUUAGCUCCAGAGUGCCUCGUUCCCUGUUGCGCGUCACCUGGAUACCGAGGCAGAAAUGCAACUCACCGAGGUCUUUCAUGGCAAAUUUAGCGCCAAGGUACGUUUUAAAUUUGUGGAUCAAACGUAGCUGAUUUGCCACGAGAAUAGCAUCGUCCACAUAUAGCGCAAGGAACAAAUAGCCCUCAGCGUCAAAAUAUAUGUAGAGGUUACAAUCAGCAGCACUGCGCACGAAACCAAGGGAAAUUAGAAAAGAAUCUAUUUUCGUGUACCAUUGGCGUGGCGACUGCUUGAGUCCGUAGAGAGCUUUGUUAAGCUUGCAAACGAGGUGUUCUUCUCCAGGCUGGAUAAAACCAGGAGGCUGAGCCACAUACACCUCUUCAUCGAUGUCGCCAAGGAACGCAGUGCAAACGUCAAGUUGAUGGAGCUCGAGAUCCAAUUCUGCAGCUAGGAUUAGUAGCAUACGAAUGGUUGUGAGUUUCACCACCGGGCUGUAAGUCUCCGAGUAGUCCAGCCCAUGAACUUGAGAAAAUCCGCGUGCCACAAAUCUCGCCUUGUAGCGCUCAAUGCUUCCAUCAGCGUUGUACUUUUUCUUAAACAACCACUUGGAUGAGACGAGCUUUCUGCGAGCUGGAAGUUCAACCAGCGACCAAGUGUUGUUUUUCUGGAGAGAAUCAUACUCAUCCUGCAUAGCUGCCUGCCAGUGCUCAGCUUCUGGUCCGUGUAGAGCCGCCUGGGGACCGAGAGAGGCAGGUGGAGCCGACAGAGCCCAGAAGUAGGCACGCUUUCCUAUAGGCAUCGCCUCCUUGGCUUUAAGAGAUGGUUUCACGACACGACCCGAGCGUGUCACCACUGCUGUGCCGGCUGGAGGAGGUGGUAGCUUGGGAAUGCUGGGAGGAGUGGUGGCAUCUUGAUAUAACUCGUCGCCAACGAACAGGUCAGCCACAAGCGUGGAAAGAUCUGGCUGUUCAUUGGUGCUUGAGGAUGCAGCCGCUGUGGCCUGUGGAGUCGUCAGAGGAGGUGUCGAAGGAAGAGAAGUAUGCCAGAUCGCCUCCUUCGGGCGCUCCUUCAGCAACUCCUCCUGGCUCUGCAGCGGCUGGAUUGUCUGGUGCUGGGUGGAGAUGUGGAACGUCGUCCAAAAUCUCAGAAAGAUCCACCAGAGAUGGUGGAGAAACAGGAGGGAGUCUCAGGGUAUCUCGAUAAAGAUGAGCUUCAUCAAACACCACAUCUCGGCUCACCACCAGUUUCCUGCGCUGGCAGUUAUAGAGUCGAUAGGCUUUUACCUGGGUGUGAUAGCCCAUGAAGAUGCAUUUCUCGCUCUUGGGAUCCAGCUUCCGCCGCUGAACAUCGGGGAUGUGGGCGUAGGCUAUGCAACCAAACACCCUCAAGUGCCCUAAUUUGGGACGCUUCCCAGUCCAUACUUGAAACGGCACCUGUCCUGUGGAACGUGUUGGCAGCCGGUUCCGGAGGUACACUGCUGUGUUGAGUGCCUCUCCCCAAAACACCUUGGGCAUGCCAGCGUGCUGGAGAAGGCAGCGUACACAGUCCAUAAGUGUCCUGUUCAGGCGCUCGGCGACCCCAUUCUGCUGCGAGGUGUGGGUGUACUCGUGGUGGAUGCCAGCCUGAGCAAGAAAUGCCAGAAACUCAUUGCUCAUAUACUCACCGCCGCCAUCUGAACGUAGUGUCCGGAUGGUACAGCCAGUGGCAUUUUCUGCCCAGCUUUUGUAGACCUGGAAGUGAUGGUAGACCUCUCCCUUGUGUACCAUGAGAACAGCCACCGCAUAGCGUGAGUAGUCGUCAAUGAACGAAACGAAGUACCGCUUGUGACUGAGAGUUGCUUCUGGGACAUGGCACACAUCCGUGUGUACCAGCUGAAGAAAUCCUGAGGCGCCAUCUUCUGGACUUCUGCGUGGAAAGGGUAGUCUUGGCUGCCUCCCCAGUUGGCACGUCUCACAUACUCCCAGUUGGCCGGCACCGGUGAGGGUAAAGUCAUCAGCAAGCUUGUGGCUAGCAAGUAGCUGGAUGUCGUGAGAAUUGGCAUGCCCUAGCCGAGCGUGCCAGAGUUGGAGAGAAUUGGCAGCCCAGGAGCUGGGGCGAAUUGCAAGCAAAUGCCCCUGCUCGUGAGUUGAGAGGAUCAACUGAGCAUUGAGCUUGUAGAGAGUCUCAGCUCGUCUACCAAAAGCUACUGGAUGGCCAGUCUCGUCAAAGAUGGUGCAUCCGUCUGCGUUGAAGAGUGUUGAGAAGCCUUGAUCUGCUGCUACACCAACUGAGAACACUGUCUGUCCUGCUUCUGGUACGUAGUAGACCUGGUUCACGAGCUUCUCAGCUCCACUCUCCAACUUUAUGAUGACCGUUCCUUGUCCUUCCACUGUUAAGGGGCGUUUGUCUCCUACAAAGACUUGCUUCUCCUGCUCCAGUGGGCGGUACUUGUGAAAAGCUCUCUUCAAUGGUGUGAGGUGCAUCGAGGCUCCAGAAUCCAUCCAGAGCACUUCGGCUUCGGACACAGUGGAUGAAGAUGCAGCGAGCGUCAUCAUCAACAUCGUGUCAGGUUGGCGUGAAGAAGAGCUUCUUUCAGCGCGAGCUUUCUCUGCGGCUUUCUUGAUCCGGCAUUCACGCUCCACGUGGCCAGCUUUGCCGCAGUAGUUACAUGGGCCCUUGCGUUUUUUAUUGGUUGCAAAUCCAGGGCUGGGAGAAGGGCUCUUUUGUCCUCGAACAGGGCCAUCUCGUUUCUUCCCACCCGAUUGCUUUCCCAUGAUCAAGGCCUGCUCCACCCGAGCAGCCUGAGAGGGCGCCUUUUGUCUCCGCUCGUUCUGCUUUCGUUCUUCCUCGAUCAGGUCCGAGUAGAGCGAAUCCAAGUCCUUUCCAGGCACAGCCGAGAGCAUUGAUGCGAAAGGUUGGAGAUCAGGGGAGACAGAGCUCAGAAGGAAUGCCUUAGCUUGAUCAAUGGUGAUUGCCGCUUCCGCGUCCUUCAGCUCGGUGAUCAUCGCUUUAAACUUUCCAAUGUAAGUGGCCAUGGUGUCAUCAGGUUGCAUUCUCAUCGUGAAGAACCUUUGUGUUAGCACCACCUUAGCAUUGGCAGCUUUGGCAGCGAAGAUUUGUGUAAGGGAUGUCCAGUUCUGGUGGGCUGUUUUGGUAAGAUCAAGGAGAUGAACGAAUUCAUCCCCAAGACCUAACCCGAUGACAGAGAGCGCUUUUCGAUUCUUGGAGUCCCAGUCGAGCCGUUGGGUUACAUCCGCAGCAGCCGGACGUUGAGUCGUUCCAUCCACUAUAGGCCAGCAGUCCUUGGCCAAAAGGAUAAGCUGUACUUUUGUUUUCCAAGUCGAGAAAUUCUGUCCCGUGAACUUUUGGAGAAGUUUCUCCCAGCCCCCAGAGUCCCAAGAAUUUCCAGCAGAAGACAUUCUAUCUAUUAAUCUAAGAAUAGAUUAAACAGAGAAUUUAGAAAGGACGGCGUGGAGAAGAAUCGUGAAAAACUCGGCCGCAACAAGGGCACACCUUCCGGCAGGCUGGGCAAAGAGCUUGUUGGCGCUUUCGCUCCUGGAUCUUCCGCUCCACCCGCGCCAGCACUGCCAAAGCCCUCGCGCGCUCCUGAGCCAAGGGUUCCUGGCCCCUUUGAUUCUUCAUGUGCCACUGUCCUCUGGCCAUUAGAUCGUUCGCUGCUCCGAUACCAUGUGGUAUUAUGAAACGGUGUUGUGUUAUUAUUAUGACGGUUGAUACAUGGUUAAAUGUAUGGGUUUAUCGUGACGAUCCGUGGUGGCGUCUGGAUCGCUCACGUGGCUGUGUGCUGACGUGGUCUUGUUCACUCCCACAAAUGUGUCUCGACCCGUGGUGCUGCCAAGGUUGACUAGGGCAGAGUGCACCGAUUGUGGCAAGGCCACACUUGAUGGGUGUCCAUCUAGGGCAGGUACAGUGCAGUGGGUCGAGUGCACCCACAGCACAUACCCAGAAGAAAAAGAAGAAGAAGAAGAAGAAGGCAUGCCGCCCCUUUAGGUGACAGCUAUUAGUCGUGUGCCCCUUCUUGGGUGGGGUGGGGGACCAUAGAAUCAGUGUGCAUGCACUCCGUCCGGUGGAGUCCCUCUCAUUGCUGCUUUGGUGGAUACCCAACUUCAUGGUGCAUAGAAAAAUAGGCUUGAACAAAAGUCAAUGGUUAAAGACUUUCAUGCUUAUGCAUGAAACCAUGUUAUGUUAAAUCGAGUGACUUGAUAAGUGAGAUUGACAAAUUGGGGGGAAUUAAAACCUUAGUUGAAGGUGUUGACUUUAAAAAGGGGUAACUUAUGGGGCUAAGUAUUGAGGAAGCCAUGCAUGAUCACAGAUUUGUCAAGUGAAAGGACUUAGUAGUUUGAAGGAAUUAGAUUCCUAAACUGUGAUCUGUAACACGCUUUAAGUAUAAGUUAGUGCACUAACAUAGGGAGUCACACCAAGCAUCAUGGGUAAUGUCGCUUGUAGAUGCAUAUAUGGAGGUUGGGUUUGAGUCUCAACUCUCUAGUGUUUAGGUUCGAGUCUCAACUCAUUAGAAUGUGGUGAUGAAUUAGAUUAUGAGGACACUUAUUUUUCGAUGGUCAUGGACUCUCAGUGAGGAGACUAAUUUGGGUACACCAUCAAGUAAGGGAUGCCCUAGAGUUGUGAGACAUAAUUAAAUUAUUUAGUGUGAAAACUCGGCAUAUCUAACUUAAACACUUUGGUGCAAGUGAUACUAAGGACAUUGUGAAUGAGAUGGGGAUACCUAGUCUUAGUUGCUAUGAACCCUUGGCCGAAAGGGCCAACUUAGGCACAUCACUAAGUGUGGGGGAUGUGGUCAACAAGUUAAAGGUCUAAAAGAUUUAGUACUUAUUGGCAAACCUGUUAAAGUGUCAAAGUUAGAUCACUAGAUAAUCUUGUGGCUAAGCAAGGACAAGGUUUUUAUAAUAAAAUUUCUUAGUUCAAAGUGUUAAUUUGAACUGUUGGUAAUGAUGUGGCUUGAUUAAAGUGACCAAGUGGGAAAGACAUUUAAGGGAAAUGAACUGCAACAAUGCAAUGGUAUUGUGAGUUUAGGAAAAAGACUCAUGGAUGGGUUGCUAAGUUAAGCCGUGCAUAGAUCCCAUAGCAAAAAAUGUUAAAGAGACUUGUUAAGGGUGAACACUUUCUAGACUUGGCAAAAUAAAACUUUUGCCAUUGAACAAAAAGGAUAUCUCGAGGAUAGAGAUAGUAAUCUUAUAUUACUUGGUUCAACAAUCAACGGGUAGGAGCAAAAGACUAAUGGCUAAGUUUAGGCCAUGGAAAUCAUUAAAAGAAAUUUAAACAACAAAGUUGAACAAGGAACAUUUAUGUGUUGGAUGCUAACACAUUGUGGGAAAGAGAAUAUGUUUUCAAGGAUGAAUUCCCAAAUGGUCCAAUUUGGCAAAUGUGAAAGUUCCAAAAGAAAGAACGGCAAGGUAGCCAAAUGAUAGGGUUAUAGAUAGCCUUAGCACAAAUUAUGGAAAAAUGAAACUUAGUGCCUAAAGUGGCACGAAAUAAGAGAAAAGAUGAUGGUACCCUCAAAUAAAGAACUUCUUAGGAUGGGAAAAUGGAAUUUGCACAACAGAUGCAAUGCAAGAUGUUAGAGAUAUCUAGGAAAUUGACUUUGAGAAGUCAAAAUUGGUUAUAUUAGUAGAGGCCAAGACUACUCCUGAAUGAGUAGUCAAAUUGAAAUAAAAGAUGUCUCUAACUAAAUAAAAAAAAAGGGAAGAACCACCAUAAGUGGCCUAAUGAGUCUCUAAGUUGGAGAGAUUAUACUUUUUAGAGGAUAGUAAAGGGAUGGUAAGCCCUCAAUGUCAAACUAUCGACAAACAUUGGCUUGGUGUUAAGGAUGGAAAAGGUAAUAUAUGCUAGUGUUACUUUAUAAAAUGGUUUAUCAUUCGAUGAAGAUAUCAAAUUUUGUUUAUGGGUGGUGGAGUUGUGAAACACAAAUCCUAGAGCCCCAAAAGUGGAGUCUAAAAUGAAGUCCAAGAUGGAUCCGAGGUGGAGUCUAAGAUGGAGUCCGAGAUGGAGUCUGAGAUGGACUUGAGACCAAGACCAAGUCUGAGUCCAAGACCAAGACCAAGACCAAGACUGAGACCAAGACCGAGAUUGAGACUGAGUCCAAGACCAAGACCAAGACCGAAACCGAGUCUAAGUCCAAGACCAAGACCAAGACUAAGACCGAGAUCGAGACCAAGACUAAAACCAAGAUCGAGACCAAGACCAAAACCAAAACCAAGACUAAGUUCAAGUCCAAGUUUGAGUUUGAGUUCGAGUCCGAAUACUAAUACAAGUGUGAGACACAAAAUCCCUAGGCCCCAAAGUGGAACCGGAAGGGUGCCAUGUGGUAGUGGCCGAAGCAGAAGCCAAAUGAGUGCAACACGUUUGGACUGAAAGCUCCGACUUGAAAGGUCGAGAGCGAGAGUGGGACUUCUAGCAAAGGGCUCGAGGAACGAGUACGAAGCGAGCAAUAAGAAAGGCUCCAAAAAGGGACCCAAAAGGACCAACACAUGACACGUGGAGGAGUCCAAGAUGGAGUCCGAGGUGGACUAAGUUGGAGUCCGAGAUGGAGUCCGAGACGGAUCCGAAAUGGAGUCCGAGAUGGACCCGAGUUGGAGUCCGAGAUGGAGUCCAAGAUGGACCGAGAUGGAGCCCAAGAUGGAGUCCGAGAUGGAGUCUGAGAUGGACCCGAGAUGGAGUCUGAGAUGGACCCAAGAUGGAGUCUGAGAUGGACCAAGACGGAGUCCGAGAUGGAGUCCGAGAUGGACCCGAGAUAGAAUCCGAGAUGGAGACCGAGGUCGAGACCGAGACCGGGACCGAGACCAGGACCGAGACCAAGACCGAGACCGAGACCGAGACCGAGAUCGAGGCCGAGGCCGAGACCGAGCCCGAGCCCGAGUCCGAGUCCGAGUCCGAGUCCGAGUCUGAGUCCGAGUUCGAGUCUGAGAGGGUGAAAGCCCAAAGCAUUCGUCUCCCAGACCCUGGGGGGUUUGGUGAGCUCCAAAAGUAUAGUAAGGGGGAGGACUGCAGUGGAGCCAAUUUGGCCAAAAAAGGCCAGUUUGGCUCAGAAAGGCUGUACCCAAGUGUUGGGUGAUGAGCUGACCAUUGGGAAGUCCAAGACUAGAGUGAAUACAGACCGACAAGCAGGGUAGCUUGGUGAAGUAUUCAAGAGCCAGCUCUAGUUCCCCCGGGAGAUCGACUGGCCGAUGCUCCCAGUCCAAGUGUGGGUGGCACUACCUACUUGGGUACCAAGUGUGGCUCAACAAAACCUCGCUCUAAGCCCAUGGCUAGAGCACCCAAAGGCGGAAGGCAGGGAGAGUACCCACGAGGCUUGUGUAAGGCUACAGUGUUCCGAAACGUUGUCCCAAAAGCCCAGACUGUGGAAAGGAAGAGGAAUAAUCCUCUGGUGUAAUGACCAAGGAUACAGUUGUGUGGUGAGGAAGUCCCAAAGUGGAUUUAGUGGUCGGGCCUGUAGGCCUUGAUUCAGUGGCAGUGUUGGCGAACACGGCCAUAGGCAGAAAGGGACUUGGUGGGGACCGGAAAGGGGAUAUUGGGGAAGGCUAUUCCCCAUGUCUGUGGGCAUCCUAAGGAUGCUAAGGAGUGGAUCUAGGAUGAUCACUCGUGGACGGAUGGCCCAGUCUUUGAGAGACGGGAUUGUGGUGUAAGUGGUGUCAGACCACCGAUGUGACCAAGGUGAAUGGGCAUGGCCUUAACGUAACGGGCUGAUGUGUCGGUGGUACAUUGGGGUGUCGGUCAUGGGACUGGACACGUGGAGCACUUGGACCAAGUGCAAAGGUUGAGUGGCAUGGAUGCCAUUCUCGGGGCUAACAAGCCCCAAGUCCUUAGAGGGACUUAUGGAGGUUGUGAAUGAGACUCCUCCAAGUGGUCGGAGGUGCAGUUAAGUGACUAAAGUAGAAUGGAAAAAAUUUAGUUGCUUACAACAAACUAUUGGGUGAAAGCCCAAAGCAAUCGUCCCCUUGGGGGGGGCGGGGUUCCAAAACUAUAGUAGGGAGAGUGUGGGGGUUGGGCCUUAGUGGAGCCAAUUUGGCUAGGAAAGGCAAGUGUGACUUAGGAAGGCUAUACCCAUGUGUUGGGUGAUGAUAUAUCCACUAAGGAAUCCAAGGUUAGAAUGAAUAUAGAUACAUAAGUGAGGUAAUUUGGUGAAAUGUUCAAAAGUUGACUUUAGUUCCCCCAGAGGAUUGAAUGGUUGAUGCUCCCAAUCCAAGUGUGGGUGGCACUACCUACUUGGAUACCUAGCAUGGCUCAUCAAAACCUCACUCUAACCAUAUAACUAGAGCACCCAAAGGGGAUGGUGGGAAGAGUACCCACAAGGCUCGUGUAGAGCCAUAAUGUUUCGAAAUGUCAUCUUAGAGUGGAAAAAAAGAAGAGCAAUCCACUUGUGUGGUAACUAAUGAUAUGGUCAUACAACAAGAAAGUUCUAGAGGACAUUAGGACAUAGUGGUUGGGCCUAUAGGCCUCAACCCCAUAGCAGUGUUGGCAAACAUGGCCAUGGACAAAAAGGGACUUGGUAGGGACUGAAAAAGAAAUAUUGGAGAAGAUUGUUCCCCAUAUCUAUGAGCAUUCUAAGGAUAUUAAGGAGUAGAUUUGGAACGAUUAUUCAUGGAUAGAUGGCCCAAUCUUUAAGAGACGGAAUUGUGAUACAAGUGGUGUUGGACCAUCAGUGUAACAAGGGUGAAUAGGCAUGGCUUUAGCGUAACGGGCUGAUAUGUUGGUGGUAACCUUAGAUGUUGGUCAUGGGAUCGAACACAUGGAGCAUUUGGACCAAGUGCAAAGGUUGAGUGGCAUAGAUGGCAUUCUCAGGGUUCCCAAGUUCAGAAUAGGACUUAUGGAGGUUGAGAGUGAGACUCUUCUAGGUGGUUAAAAUUAUGGUUAAGUGACUAAAGUAGAAUAGAAAAAUUAUUCGCUUACACCAAAAACUAAUCCAUCUAUUCAGGAAUGGUCAUCCCGUGACCACACCUUAGCAUCUUUAGGAUGCCUAAAAAUAUAGAAAACACCCUUCCCCAAUAUCCCUUCUUUAGUCCCCAUUAAGUCCUUUUUUUUCCACAAUUAUGCUUACUAACACCACCACUGGGUUAGGGCUUGAAGGCCUGACCACUAAGUCCCAUUGACAUCUAGGACUUCUUUGCCAUAUGGCCAUAUCCUUGAUCAUUACACAAGAAGAUUGUUCUUUCUUUUCCACAGUCUAAAACUUUGGGAUGACAUUUAGCCACGCCAGAUAUGCAAGUAGGUAGUGCCACCCACACUUGGAUUAAAAGCAUCAUGAGCUAAAACUGGCUCUUGAACUCUUCACUAAGUUAUCUUAUUUAUCUAUCUAUAUUCACUCUCCUUCAUAAUGGUUAUAUCAUCACCCACCAUAUAAGUAUAUUUUUCUUUGAUUACAUUGACCUUUCUUGGCCAAAUUGAUUCCAUUGGAGUCCUCCCCCUAUUAUCCUUUUGAAGCUCACCAAACCCCCUAUAGUCUGGGAGAUGAUCACUUUGGGUUUUCACCCUUAGACUUGGACUUUGACUCAAACUCAAACUCGGUUUUGGUCUUGGUCCUCAACUCGAACUCUAUUGUAAGCUCUUGAAUUUGGAUUUCCCAGAAAGUCACCCGACUCAGUAAUAUUCAAACUUAAGAAUGCUUAACCCCAAGUAUCCUAAAAACUUUAACCGAUUGGAAAAAGGGGUGAACUUUUAUUCAUGAACCUUUUUCCUUUAUAUUUGAACCCUUAUGAAUCGUCUUUUGAAUUGUUCCUUUUAGUUGUUUACAAUCCACCAUGCUUUCCUGCAAGUUGACACCUUCAUGAACUGAAGCUUACAGCUAGUGGAGCAAAUUGGAUUUGCCAGAUGUUACUCAAUAUAUGGUGUAAUUCCCCUAACUAACCAACAAAGUUAGACCCAAGACCAGAUAUCAAUCAACAUGUGGUGCAAUUCUCCUAACCAACCAACAGAGUCAGACCUAAGACCCUUCUGAUACCAAAUGUAAGCUUUUGGAUUUGGACUUUCCAGGAGGUUACCCAAUAUAGUAAUAUUUAAAUCUAAGGAUGCUUAAUCCCAAGUAUCCCAAAACCUUUAACCGAUUGAAAAAAAGGGUGCACUCUUAUUUAUAUGCCUUUUCCCUUUAUAUUUAAAUUUUUAUAAAUUGUCUCUUGAAUCAUUCCCUUUGGUUAAUUACAUCCAUCUCGCACUUUAUCUCAAACUCCAUUUUAGACUUCUUCUUGAACUCUAUCUCGGACUUUUUCUCGGACUUUUUUUCGGACUCCUUCUCAGACUUUUUUUCAGACUCCAUCUGGGACUCUUUCUUAGAUUCCUUCUCAGACUCAAUCCUAACACUUCUAUGUGUCAUGAUAUUUGCCAUAUGUUAGUCUUUCUUGAUUCCAUUUCUAGAGACUCAUUCAUCAAUCACUUUAUGCUCAUCCCUCAAAUACUUCCAUUUUGACCAUUGCCAUAUGACACCCUUUCGGCUCCACUUUGGGGCUUAGGGAUUUAUGUUUCACAACUCCACCACCCAUAGACAAAGUUCAAUGUCCUUAUUGAAUAAUAAACCAUUUUAUAAAGUAACCUUAUUAUGGAUUACUAUUUUCAUCCUUAGCACAAAGUUAAUAUUUAUCAAUGGUUUGACAUUUAAGGCUCAUCAUACUUUACCCAUCUUAUAAGGAGUAUAGUUUUUCCAGCUUAAAGUCUCAUUAGAUCAUCAAUGGUAGUUUUUUACCUUUGUUUAUUUAGUUCUCAUAAAAUCUAUUAGAAACACUUUCUCUAUUUCAUGUAAAUAACUAAAGAGAAUAACUCAAGAGACGAUCCACAGGGUUUAAAUAUAAAAAGAAAAAGCCCAUAAAUAACAUUAUACCCCCUUUUUAAUUGAUUAAGAGUUUUAGGAUACUUAAGGUUAAGAGUCCUUACGUGGAUAACUUUCCGAAAAGUCUAAAUUUAAAAGUUUACAUCUCAAUUUUACUACUCAUUCUAAGAAAAUUGACUCAAGAUGUCAAUAUUAAAGUUCUAGAAUGCAAUAGUUAUGUUGGUAGAGGCUGAAACUACAAGUGUGUCCAACAUCUUGUAUUUCACCGGUUACGCAAACUCCACUUCCCCAUCCUAAAAAGUUUUGGAGCAUUUAAGAAUCCAUGAAAUUUCUUUUCUUUCAUUGUUGUUUGCUACAAUGUUGAUCAUCCUAUUACUACUAGACUAUUUUACCCAUGCAUCAAAAACUUCAAACUUAUUCAUGGUGAUAUGUGUUUCAUAGCAACAUGGAACAAAACAAAUUAGAUUAUUACUAAAGGUAAAAAUUAUUUAAUUCAAUGGAGGAUAAAAUAUGAAAAUCCAAAAAUGGAGAUAUAAGAAAUAUUAAAUACAUUUUAUUGAUAUAAAAAAAUUACAAAUAAAAUAUUUUAUUCUUUAUAUUCACCACCAUUUGAAAAUUUAAUAAAAAGAUAAAAUCUUUAAGGAACUUUGAAAUUACAUUAUAUGGACAUUAAUUAUGAAUAAGGAUGGAAAAGUUUUUUCACUUGAAAAUUUAAAAUAAUAACAUUUUAAAGAGUAUAUAUUAAAGAAGUGUGUGUGUGUGUGUGUGUGUGUGUGUAUAUAUAUAUAUAUAUAUAUAUAUAUAUAUAUAUCACAAAAUAAUGUCAUAUUAAAAAGUGAAAAUUUUGCUAGUAUUUAAAAAUAUUUGUAAUAAAUACUACUCAUAGUUAUGCUUUCUCAUCAUCACACACCAUAAGGAAAUGGUUUCUUGAAAUGGUGAAGAAAAGUAUACAGCUAAAAUUUAAAUCCCAAAAUGUAAUUAAUUAUUAAAAUUAAUAUUUUAAAUAAUAUUCUAAUAGAUUUUUUAUUUUUUAUUUUUAGAUUUAAAUUACAUUAUUAAAUUAUUAAUAAAAUGAUAAAUUGAAAUCCUUUUAAAAACUAGUACUUUGACAAAUGAUAUUAAAACUAAGGUAUAGUGAAAAACUAAUAUGCAAUUAAGUAGUAUUUAGUAUUUUUUUACCAAUUUUUUCCUAUAUUUUUUGCAAUUUACGGAUAACCACAAUGCAAAUCUAUUUUGGAAAAGACUUUUGCAUCUCUAAGUCUAUGCAAAAUAUUACCUACUGAUGAUAUAUGCACUUUGUCCUUCAUUGUCUUCUUGUAUAAAGCUUUAUUGUCUAUCCCUGCAUUGAGUCAUCCUUUUUCUUGGCAAAUGAGAUAGAAGCACCAAAAGAAGAUUUGUUGGGUUGGAUAAACCCAUACUCAAGCAACCCAGUCAUUGGCCCUUGACCUUUAUCUCAUCUGCAUGACUAAGACAAAAUGGUUGUCUAUAAAUUGGCUUUAUACUAGGCUUUAGCAGUUAACUCUACUGGAAACACAUAAGUAAAUUCUUCAAGCUUCACCCAAACAACCUCUUCUCCUGUGAGAGAACUUAAAGUAUCUAACUCUCUAAUGAACAUAAAAAUCAUUCCCUUUAUUAUAAAUAGCUCCAAAGACAUGGUUGACAUCAUCUGUGUGAUGAUUGGAAGAUCACUCCACUAAUCCAAUUUGACUUGGUGAAGACUCCACUUGAUCUCGGGAUCAAUGGGGCAAUUUUGCCCUUCUUUCUUGAUCACAUAAGCCAAAUUAUUCCAAGAUCAAAUCCACAUUCUUCAUGGCAGCCAGAAAAAAAUCCUCAACGAACUCCAUUUUUCCCACCUUUAUGAGAAGUUGCAUGAUGUCCCACUUCUGAGUUUCUGUGCCAAUAAUCUUAUACAGAGGCAACUUCCCUAAACCCUCACAUUCCUUUACCAAUUUUGAAAAAAUAAAUUGAGCUGCCAAUCAAUUAGGAUCAUCACUAAACACUGCUUAGCUAUCCCUCCACUUGAAUUAGUCAAGAUUUAGUCAUCAAGCCACCAAUAUCAUCACACUAGAUUUGAUCAAUAAUUCUACAAUCACUAACAAAUGUUCUUUCAACUCAAAAGCCUCAUUUGUACACUACACUUCCUAGAUCUUCUUGUUGUUAGAAGCACCAACUCCAUUGUUGUUCUUCAGCAAUAUUUUCUUCUAGUGAUCCAAAAAUCCACACUUGAAGCAUUGAUAGGAUUAGUGAUGCAAACCGUCUUUGAAAUUUGGCCAUUAUUCCAGUGGCUUCUACCAUUUUUGCCAUGCCCUCCACCAUUGCUACUAUAGAAAAAUCCUACCAUAUGGAAAUUUGAGUAAGAAUUCUUGCUAUUGCCACUAUCACUAUAUCCAAUAUCAUCUUUAGAAACUCCUAUUACACUAAUUCUUCUUGGUGUUAUCAGGCUACUACUCUUGUGACUCCUCAUCCUCAAGUGCUCCAACAUCCAUAAAAAAUUCCUCCGGCAACUUGGAAGUUUGGGUAGACUUCGUAGAUUUCUACAUGUUAUGGUUGUGCAAACCAUCUAGGAAGUAAUCCUUCUCCACCUCCUCCAUAUAGUCACUUCAAAUUCAGCUAAACAACAUUCCAAACCAAUUAUAUACUCAUUGAUCAAAUUGCCCUUCCUCUGCUGUAGCUAACACCAAGCAUGCCAAGCAUCAUAGGUGCAAACUCCUACUUAAAAGCUACUACAAACUUUUCUAAGGAGGUAAAUGGUCCUUUCCUAGUGCUUAUUCAUUAGUUAUUUGCAUCCACCACUGUGAUGCCUUGAUUUUCAAGGCAACCUCCAGAAGGAUCAGUGGUUAAGUAUCAUCAAAACCUUGGACCUGGAUCAGCCUUGAGAUUUUACCAAGGUUUCAUCUGCAAUACCUUGUGAUUAGAUUACCACUACCACCUCAAGAUUGAUCAAGCUUUUCCAUGCAAGUUUGCAUGUCUUGCUGGGAGUCACAUCUCUUGCCAAAAAAACCUUUUACAUAAUCCUUCAAAACCACAAUGCAUAGAGCUACUAGACUAUAGUGGGUUGAAUAAAACUCCUUUUUGCUUUUUCUUUUCUUAAUUGUUUAAAGUUUUUAGUUAGAUACGCCAUUUUCUUAGACACUCAAUGACCUAAUCCUCUAAUUGACCUACUAAUCCCAUACUUAGCCUUAAGCGGAUAAUAGGGUGCUCAAACUUGGAAUUUGCCAUGUCAAGUUUCCCUCGUGCAUUACACACUUAGGCAUAUAGUCUAUCUGCUUUUGAACGUAUGUUAUGACAUUAGCAUGUGCCCUUACUUGGCGGCCAUUUGUUGUAUGGAUUACUUCGUGCCUAGGAUCGUGCAGGCAGAGUCUUUACUGGUAAAGCCUAUGCAUCCCUCAGCAGUAGAACAUCUCUUCAAUUCAGAUGCGGCCAGUGAAGGUUAGUUUGCCCACAUAGUGGUCAUGAUCAAUUGAGGUAAGGAAGCUCAGAACCGUGUUUGUAUUGCUGAAAUGGUCUGGGCGUAGAGCAGAUUGCAACUGUACUCCAAUUAGUCUGCAAAAGUUUGGAUAGAAAAGUUUGUCAAAAGUUGCUUUCCUUGUGCCGCAAGUAACCCUGUGGAAGUGGGAACUACUUGACCUUCUCCACUAUGAAAAUCGAAGAAACAAGCACUACAGCUUUGUGAACCUGUCCAUGAUCAACUGGAUUGAAGGAAAUUCCACUAUAAAUUGCUUGCAAUACGCUUGUCCAUGACCAGCAGAGUUCGAGAAAUGCACGCUCCUCACCACCACCAGACUCAUAUAUUGUAUGUGAAAAGAAUACCUUUAUCUAAGGGUGUAUGCGUUUGCCAGUAAGAGGUAAGGUCCAGGUACAUGAUGAUCCAAAUUAGUUGUCGCCACCUUUCCCAACCGUGCAUUACCAUGUAAUUUACACUUUCCCAGGAGAAUUGUCCAUGCUCCCGGAUCCGCACAAGAGGUGACCAGUUCUCUCGCCUCCUCCAGCCUCCCACUCCGCCCCAAGAGAUCAAUCAAACAGUGGUAGUGUUGGACGCCGGGAGCUAUCCCACAGUCCGUACACAUUACCCGGAAAUAGUACAGCCCCUCAUGCAACCGCCCACCGUGGCUGCACGCCGCCAGGAUGGUCACAAACGUCAGGUCACUGGGUUCGACCCCCUCUCCAAACAUUGUCGAGAACAAUACCAUGGCCAGCUCCACAAGACCAUUCUGAGAAUAUGCGGCUACCAUGGUGCUCCACAGCACGGGGCUGCCAUGGUACGGAAGUAAGAGCGCGUGGAACUCGUUAGCAGCUGCGGUGAGGUCUCCGCAUCCUCCGUACAUGCUGAUGAUGAGACCCCCCAACAUGAGCUCAUUUGACACGGAGUUGAAUUCUCUGAAAUUUGCGUGGAUUGAUCGGGCAUCAGAGAGCGAGCCAAUGCAGCUGCACGCGAAAAACGCACUCGCAAAAGCGCUCUCAUCUGGGUGAUACCCUUCUUGGUUCAUCCUCCGGAAGAGGGAUAUCCCCUCGAUUCCAUGGCCGUUUUGGGCAUAUGCCGCGAUCAUCACGCUCCAUGUCACUGUGUUCCAGCACGGCAUUGUGUCGAACAACAACUGGGCUUCCUCAAGAUGCCCGUGCUGGGCAUAUCCAGCCAGCAUUGCAGUCCACGUCACAACGUUGGGUGCUGAAGUGGACUCUAGCAUGGCUUGUGCCUUGUCCAAAUACCCGUUUCGGGCAUAUGCAGCGAGCAUCGCAGUCCACGAGAUGUCAUCUUGCUGAGGCAUUUUUGCGAAGACAUCUUCCGCCUCUGAAAUGUUUCCACUCUCGGAGAACGCGUUAAAGAUGGCCGUGCAGGAUAUAAUAUCGCGCUCGGGCAUUUCUGUGAACAUCGCCAUCGCUUUAAGAGUAUGCCCAGCUCGGGCAUAUGCCUCCGUCAUAGAGGACCAAGCAACAAUGUCCAACGCUGGCAUCUGGUUAAACAACGCCCGACCUUGUGUGAGUCUUCCAGUUGCUGCAAGCGCAUUCAAGAGCGUCGUCCACGAAAACAGGUCUCUCUCGGGCAUUCUCUCGAAGAUCGUCCUUGCUUCGCUCAGAUCCUCGCCCUGCGACACUGCUGCGAUGGCAAAGUUGUACGAGGCAACAUCGCGCUCCGGCAUCUCCUGGAAAAGUUUCAGAGCUUCGGUGAAACGCCCGUCUCGGACAAGGGCACCCAAGAGGCCGUUCCAUGACAGGAUGUCGUGGCAGGCCAUGUCAUCGAACACCAACCGCGCGUCGUCGUAGUGUUUGCUGUGCUGGAGCAUUGUGUUCCACGUCACAAGAGACCACCCGGGCAUUGUAUCAAACAUGCUCCACGCCUUUUCCAAAUGCCCACUAGCGGCAUUUGCUACAAUGAUAAUGUUCCACGAGAUUAUGUUCUUGUGUGGCAUGCUGUCAAAUAUUUCAUUCGAUUCAUUUAGAAAUGGAACAUCAGAAUAGGCUUUGAGGAUUGCAGUCCACGAAACCACGUCCCAACACGGCAUGUUUUCGAACAUCAAUCUUGCGGUGUACAAAUCCCCGUUACUGGCAUAUGCAGUGACGAUGAUGUUCCACGAAAAAAGAUUCGGCUCCGGAAGGCUAUCAAACACCUCGCGGGCUUUCUCAACACUUCCGUGCUUCCCAUACAUUUCGAUGACAAGGUUGGCGAGGAAAAUGUUGUGGCGGUGCUCGCUGGCGGAGAUCGUCGCGUGGAUCUUUUGGGCUUGCUGGAGACUCCGGCACGACUUGACCAGGUUGGCGUACAAUGCUGGGUCCGAUUGAUCCAUUGCAGCAGUGGUCAAGUGCAUCGUUUUGACCCGUGUGAAUCAAUCCCAAUCGCUUUGAUUUUCAACUGUUUUGGAUCGAGAUGAUCUAGCCAUCUUUGCUACACCAUAAAAACGCUUUGAUUCUCCACUACUCAAAGCUGGGACUGGGACUGAUGAGAGAAAGUCUGAAUUGCUUCCAUCGACUUCGACUUCUCGUUAUGAAGAUUCUACUCUCCACAGUCGCCGUCGCCGACAUUGCGCAAGCGGAAAAAAUUGGUUUGAUAACCAAAAAGAGGAAACAAAGAAGGCCCGGCCCUACCCCGAACGAAAAAGUUCCAUGUAUAAAAACUAAAGGAAAGAAACACCCAGACGUGGCGGGAAUGCAAAGUGAUUACGUGGCGGACGACGUGGCAUGGCAUGGCAUGGCUGCCGAGCCUCUCGAGCCUGCCGAGGCUGGACAUCCGAGGCUGGCAUUGCUUUUGCCGAGGCUGCCGUGGGUAUGCCGCCCAUGAUGCCAUGCUUGGGGAAGGGGCAAAAGAAUCGAAAGCUCCAAGAAGAGGUUUAUAUUUCGGGAUGGAGAUGGAGGGUUUUGUGGCUUUGCUGUGGAGAUGGAAGGCGCCCCGGCGACGAUCCUGCCGCAUUCCGUCUAGGAAGCGCAAGCGAUCGAUCGAUCCAUCGCCGCGGCGGGAAGGGUGGAUCUUUGGUUGUUGAUUUCUUUGUUUGGCCGAUCACCUUGAUCGCAGACUGAGCGGGCGCCUUGUGAGCUGAAAUAUUGCCGAGAUUUUGGCAGCUAUGCGCGAUCGCCGGUCAUGGGGAUCGUCGCGCAGCUCGGGCUGGGCCUCGUGAUUGUUCUUUGCGCUUGCUUCCCACGGUCUUUGCAAGGGCAUGAUGGAUUACAUUCCAGGCGCGCGUUCCUGCUGGAUCGCGGUAAGCUUGAGAGGUUUUCUUGAUCGAUUCAAGCAACUGACAUCUCUUUUUGUGAAUUUCCCAGGUGCUGAGGCGAAAUAUCUCCGACACACACGGAAUUUCAGCGAUUCCUUGCCUGGGGAGACGCGCCGUGUGGAUCCUCUAGAUGGUCUCAAGCACUACCGAGGGGGAUUUGACAUCGAGAACAAGCAUUACUGGGCGGUAAGUCGAUCGUCUUGUUUGUAACUUGCUACAAAGUGAAAAUUUGGUGACGCUCCUAAUCGUGAUGCUUUUGUGAUGCUAGUCGGUGCUUUUUUCGGGGAUAUAUGGGUACGCACUUGCGGUGGCAUCAGUACUACUUGGCCUCGUUUUCCUGGUGCUGCUUUUUGUUCGAUCGAUGAAGAGGAGGGAUUUAAAAUUCCAAAAGAUGGCUCCUAGUGCUUCAAAUUCCCAUCACUCUAUUGUGUCUUCGGCGGCUUUGAUGCUUUUGACACUGUUAGCACUGUAAGUGUUCUCCGUGCUUGGAAGUCUGUUUAUAUCUAUGACUGACUUUGGGCUCGUUUAGUGUCUUUUGCUGCUUGCUUCUUGUCGGAAACAAGAGGCUACACGAGGACGCCAACGUUGUGAAAGAUGUUCUUAUUGAGGCUGCCAACAAUGCCACUGCUACUAUAUACAAUGUCACGACAGAGAUGACGGAUAUAACGACCAAGUUGGAGCCAUUCGAUGGUAACCUUACUACUCUGUUCUCGUCGAAGGCCAGGCUCUACUUUGAAGCCGUGCAAAUCCAACAAAAGGUUCAGGACAACAAGAAGAUGAUUGAGAGAACGUUGAAAGAAAUGUGAGGUUAGCUCCAUUGCGAUCGUUAAGCGAUGUGGUUAACCAUUUUUUUCUCAUUGCAGAUACAUCACUAUCCUUGUUACGAGCUCGGUAAUAAUGCUCUUUUUGAUAGUGGGACUAGUUAUUUUGAUCGGUAGGGUCAGAUUUCUGUGAUAAGUACUCGUAUACUGAACAUUAAAUGGUGUUGCAGAGAAGACGCAUCCGUUUUGGUGGUGGUUCUUUCCGUUGUAAGUAGUUUUUUUUGUCUUGUUCUAAAUUUUUUGAAAGUAUCUUAUGCCUUUCGUUAUGUUAUGGCAGGAUUACUGUUGCUCUUUGGCUACUGACAGUAUUCAGCUGGAUCGCCUUUGGAUUGUCUUACGCGGCUCACAAGUAAUCUGAUAGUUUUUCUUUAAUCCGCUUCUUUCUCAACUGAAAUAAGUUGUCAGUGUCGUGGACGACUCCUGUACAGCUCUAGAGGAGUAUCAACAAAACCCAUACAACAACACAAACGCACUGGGCUUGCUCCUGCCUUGCGUCGAUUCCAAGAAUGGGAACGACUCAGUCCUCAAGAUACGUGAAGGCAUGUACAGAGUUAUCGCACAGGUAAGCUUGUGGUGUUCCAGCCAUGCAUCUAAAUCCGAAGCUUUUCUCUUGCCAGGCGAAUAGGAAUAUAUCGAAGCUACGUACGACGAUGGAUGGCAUCGGGGACAACCGCGUCAUCCCCCACAUUUGCAAUCCAUUCUCCGGCCCUCCACACUACAAGCUUACAGGGCAGUGCCUCGAAGGCACUGUGGCGAUAGGUAACGUUCCCCAGGUAAUUAAGAGACGCUGCUUUCAGAUCGAUCGUCACAAACUUUGAUGGUUUUUGAUGGAAAAAACUUACAGGUGCUCCAGCCGUUUCGAUGCUCGGCCAAAGACGAGCACGAGUGUGCUACCGCCGAAGGCGUGCAGCACAUCCCAGACCCGAUCUACAGGACCAUUCUGGCCUACAGCGCCGCCGCGCAGACGCUCAUCGACGCCACCCCAUCGCUGGAAAGCCUCGCGAAUUGCUCCUUUGUGGUGCGCGCUUUCUCGGUGAUCGUGGAUGGUAAGUGCCGCCCCGUGAGGAGCUCCAUCCAUCUCCUCUGGGCUGCGUACGCUGGGCUCGCCACCACCGCGUUUUUACUCCUCAUUCUCUACGCCAUACGGAUUUACUCAAAGCUCAAACAAUCCAAAACACAGGGUUAAAGUUUUUUAGGGCUUAUUUGAUUUUAGGGCUUUUAUUCGAUUAAAAUUUUUAAGGCAUAUUUGAUUAGUAUUAAGCAAUCUCUGCUUAGAAUAAACUAAUUGAAAAAAAAAAAAAGAUUCCUUUCUCGUGUUGUAUAAGGCUGCCGCUUGGCAAGCGUGGGCUCGUGAUUGAUCGAUCGCGAUCAAGAAAAUAUUUCGCUAGCGAGCGCGCAAGGUAGGGAAUUUCUCGGCCUGGCGCCGCGAUUGAUCGUGUGGCAGCUCCGCAAUGGCGUCCAAUGCGAGCGAAUCGGCGGUGCCUGCCAUUGCGCAUCCCACUCCCGGGGAUUCUUUCGGUGUGGCGGCCAACAUUGUCUACCAUUCGCAGUUCUCUUCUCGAUUCUCGCCGUUUAAGUUCGAGGUGGAGCAGGCAUUCUAUGCCACUGCGGCGAGCGUGAAAGACGCCCUUGUCCAGGUCUGUCUAGUCUCCUAUUCACGAUAUAGAAAUUUUUCUUGGAUGGAUUGUUAGAGGAAGAACAUGAUUCUUUUCUCUUGGUUGGAUCCAUGGAUUUUUUAUAGAGAUGGAACGAAACAUACAAGCAUUUCCACGAGGAGGAUCCCAAGCAAGUUUAUUACUUGUCCAUGGAGUUUCUGCAAGGAAGAGCGCUCACCAAUGCCAUUGGAAAUCUCGGCCUCUCGGACGCUUACGCGGCUGCGCUGACGAAGCUGGGCCAUGAUCUCGAGAACGUACGAGAACAAGUAAGUUCUAAGUAUCCAAACUUUGUGGUUUCGUUCGAGCUAAAGGAAUUUUCUCUCCAAGGAAAAAGAUGCAGCUCUUGGAAAUGGAGGUCUCGGGAGGCUUGCCUCGUGUUUUCUAGAUUCCAUGGCGACUCUCGAUUUACCUGCAUGGGGAUAUGGCCUACGAUACAAGUACGGGCUUUUUAAGCAGAUAAUUUCCUCUAAAGGCCAGGAAGAAUAUGCAGAGGACUGGCUAGAGGUAUUUCCCUUGCUUGUUAGCGAAGCAAUCGUUCGUGCUCACUUGAUCUUCCUUGGCAGAAGUCUAGUCCUUGGGAAAUAGUCAGGCACGACGUAACAUAUCCAGUUCGAUUUUUCGGUGAGGUGCAAGUCGAUUCUGAUGGAAGGUGAUUUGUUUUUUGCUUCUAGCGUUUACAAAACUCUAAGCUCUUCUACCAUCUUUCAAGGCGGAAAUGGAUCGGGGGAGAAGUUAUGCAGGCUCUGGCUUAUGAUAUCCCCAUCCCUGGCUACAACACAAAGAACACAAUCAGCCUUCGAAUUUGGGAAGCGCGCGUGCCCGCCGAAGAUUUUGACUUGUAUGCUUUUAACGCCGGAAAACACGAGGAAGCAGUUCAGCUACAGCUGAAGGCCGACCAGGUGUGUUCUUGUUCAAAACAAAACUUUGUUCGUAUGACAUAUUUACUUCCUUCCAGAUCUGCUCAGUUUUAUAUCCUGGAGACAGUACUGAAGAUGGAAAGCUCUUGCGUCUGAAGCAGCAGUACAUGCUGUGCAGUGCUUCGUUGCAGGUGAUUGUGUGUGUUUUAAGCGUUUCAGCUUGAAAGUAUAGUGUCUUCGUGAUAUAGGAUAUUUUCUCGCGUUUCAAAGAAAGACGUGGAGCUAUCUCAUGGGAUGAGUUUCCAAAUAAAGUUGCUGUUCAACUAAACGAUACGCAUCCAACGCUGGCAAUUCCAGAAUUGAUGAGGAUUUUGAUGGACGACGAAGGACUUGGAUGGGAUCAGGCGUGGAACAUUACUUCCAGGUUGGUUCUUCUUUUUUCAAACAAGUAAUUCCCGGUCUAUCAACUUUCUUCUAUGUUGUCGAUUCUAACAGCACUAUAGCAUAUACUAACCAUACAGUUCUUCCGGAAGCACUUGAGAAGUGGUCACAAGUUGUCAUGGCCAAGCUUUUACCUCGGCAUAUGGAGAUUAUAGCAGAAAUUGAUAAGCGGGUAGGCAUUCUCAGUCUCUCUCUCAUUGAGUUUGUCUUAUAAAAUUGCUUGCAUUUGCAGUUUCAAGUGCUUGUGGCUAGAACAAGGCCCGAGUUAGAAAGUAAACUGGAAGCUCUACAAGUUUUGGAUAACUCCAACCCCGAAAAGAAGCUUGUGCGCAUGGCACACUUGUGUGUUGUGUCUGCUCAUUCGGUAACGUUUACAAAUUUAUAGCGAGGAAGGCCCGCUGAUUAUGCUUGCCAGGUGAACGGAGUUGCAGAGCUGCACAGCGAGAUAUUGAAGAAGGAGCUCUUUUCCGACUUCUAUUCGCUAUGGCCCGAAAAAUUUAAUAACAAGACAAAUGGUGUCACUCCAAGGCGGUGGCUACGUUUUUGCAGCCCCGAAUUAAGUGCGAUCAUUACCAAGUGGCUGAGGACUGAUAAAUGGGUCACAAACCUCGACCUUCUCAGUGGCCUGAGAGAGGUAAGAUCUAUAUUUCGAAAGACAGGCGGUAAGUUUUGCCUUGAAUUCAGUUUGCAGAGGACAAACAACUCCAGGAAGAAUGGAACGCUGCCAAGCUAGCCAACAAAGUCCGGUUCGCAGAUUACUUGCUCAAGGUUGUAGGGGUCGAAGUCAAUCCACAAACUCUUUUCGACAUUCAAAUCAAGCGGAUUCACGAGUAUAAGCGUCAGCUGCUCAAUAUAUUAUCCGUGAUCUAUCGUUACAAAACGAUCAAGGUCUGCCAUAGUUAUAAGUUUCCUCUCUCUUUUUUCUCGUUUCUAAUAGCUGGUUGUCAAUGUAGGAGAUGAGUCCCGAAGAACGUGCGAACACUGUCCCACGAACUGUCAUGUUCGGUGGCAAAGCUUUUGCAACUUACGCACAGGCAAAACGAAUUGUCAAACUUGUUACUGACGUUGGAGCUGUUGUCAACAAUGAUCCCAACGUUUCUCCACAUCUCAAGGUACGAAAGCUUGUGAUGCUUUCAAUACCAAAAACCGAGAUCGCUUCCUCUAUCCAGGUUGUUUUCAUUCCAAAUUACAAUGUCACGGUGGCAGAGCUCGCCAUCCCAGCCAGUGAGCUCUCGCAGCACAUCAGCACGGCUGGAAUGGAAGCAAGCGGUACGAGCAACAUGAAGUUUGCGCUCAACGGGAGCCUGAUAAUCGGGACACUGGACGGAGCCAACAUUGAGAUCCGAGAGGAAAUUGGUGAAGACAACUUCUUCCUCUUUGGUGCUCGAGCCGACGACGUCCCCAGGCUGAGAAAAGAAAGAGAACAAGGCAAAGUAAUGCUUCUCAAUCCUAUGAUCAUCUCUUAACUUCUCAUGUGUUCUUGUAGUUUGUUCCCGACCCGCGCUUCGAAGAGGUGAAGGACCUCAUUCGCUCGAAAGCGUUUGGCGAUUUCGAUUACGAGCCACUGUUAGAGGCUCUUGAGGGUGACACCGGCUAUGGCCGAGGGGAUUAUUUUCUCGUCGGUCAAGACUUCCCCGAGUACCUGGAUGCCCAAGACAAAGUCGACGAGACUUACAAGUAUAGACACAUUCCUUUCCUCCUUGAGCUGUGACUUACAUCACUCUUUUUCCUGUCCAGGAAUCGCGCAAAAUGGAUGAAGAUGUCGAUUCUUAGCACUGCUGGGUCGGGAAAGUUUAGCAGCGACAGGACCAUCUCACAGUACGCCAAUGAGAUCUGGCAAGUUGGCCAGUGCCGUGUUCCAUGAACACAAGAAGUAAGACACAUAGUAUUACGUUCUAAACGAACUCUUUCAUCUCGCUUUCUUUGUCAACAGAGGGCACGCUUCGAGCACGCGUGGACGUGGAAUCUUAUUGGGUGUAUUCGCUUAUAGAUAUCAUAUAGAGGGCUAUCACUGUUCACAGUGUGUUUGUUUGCUUGGGAGAGAACGAUGAGCGGAGAGAAACCUUGCUGCGCAGGUAAGUUUCGAUUUUCUCCAUUCAUGAUCUAAGCUUGCUCGGCUGCAGAUAAAUGGGACGAAUUCGUCGGCAUGGACGCCGAGGAAGCCAAGAAGAAGCUCAAGGAGGUUCACAGCACCCUUGAUGUUGUGAUCCUUCCAGAGGGCAGCAUAAUGACCAUGGAUUUUCGCAAGGACCGAGUGCGGCUCUUCACGGAUUCUAACAACAAAGUGAGUCAAGUUCCCAAGCUAGGAUGAUGGAUCAUUCCUAGUUUGGGGUAGUGCUACUAUAAAAUAAAAGCGAGCUACCUGAGAUCAUGAUCACUUGGUCUCUUCCGGUGUCUUGCUUUCCUUUCCUGUAAGAAGCCCUCUGAUCUUCACGUCAUACAAAAUCUCUUCGACUUUCUUGAGGUCGUAUUUCAAUCCUUCACGCAAGGAAAAAAAAAAAAGAAAAGAAAAGAAAGAAACUGGGUCAGUGUAGAGCGAAAGAUUUUCACUUCGUACCGUCAAAUCGCUUCCUGAGAUGAUCGUUUCGGAGAUUGAGGAGCCGGAACGCGGAGUACAAAUCACUCAAGAACAGCGAAACUCUCUCGGGACAAUCGUAAGCUCCCGCGACAACUUGAUUCACGACGUAUCUUGGCUGUGCACAGUAUGGAAAGAAGUUAAAAAUCCUCACAAAACGUACAAUAAAAACCACGCAUUUACACAUACCAGCUCGCUGGACAUGUUGCAUAGGCCUGCGACAAAGAUCAAAGAUCAAAACACGAAAAUAAAGCCUGGAGGCUCGAAACUUACCCACUAGAUAGUCGUCUAGAUCCAGAAAGAAAUCUUCUUUCUUCACUGCAAAUGAUGAGAAUGAAGUAAGCCGAGAAUGAAGUUGUAAUCGAGCUUACGCUCCAGGAGCUCUUGCGCGUCAGCGUGAGAAAGAAGAUCUCCAGUCUCCAACCAGUGCGAGAAUGCGAGCAAGGAAACCACGACCUGCGUUUGAUUCCGCCAGUAAUCGUGAUACCUGGAAGACAAAAAAGAAAAGAGCUAGCUCUCAAACCAUCCAUCCAUGACAAACACACACGCAAGAAGAAAGAAAAAAAAAACAUCGUACAUACACUUACUUGUAGUACUCCUCGGGCCGAGCUUUGAUGAUCGCCGUGAGCUCCAUGUAAGCCUUUCGUAUCUCUGGAAGGUAGCUCUUGGCUUUCUUGAUACUAUCUGGAAGCUUAAAAGUUUAAAGAGAAGAACGCAAUAGAUCUACGCUUACCGCCGGAGGAGGAGUGAUGGAUUGGAAGCAAUGCCGCAUUCAUGAGGCGAGUGGCGUUGUCCAGCUCUGACACCGCCGAUCGAAGCUGCUCCCUCACGGCAUUGGACGCAUCCAUCUCUGCGCGGAACGAUUCAAACUGCUCCAUGGCGCCGCAGCAGGCCGUGGCGGUGGUGGAGCAAGCGCGAAGGCGCACCGAUCCUCUAGGGCUAGCGCUGCGUGCGACGGAGAAGAGACGAAGAGCCCGGAACGCCACGACAGACAUUAGGGUUUAAACGGAUCCAUUAACCCUAAACCCUAAACAGGUCUCUUUAGUGCAUAGCUAAUGAAAUGUCUGAAUUGUUUGUCCAUUCUGUGGAGUGUAUCCAAUUUCUUAUCAAUGAGAUUGAUGACAUUUUGGAAGUUCUUUUAAACUCUAGAUUUCCAUCUACAUUAAAAGUUGGAUUGGGCCUUUUUGAAGAACAAAUCGUACGAAGAAACACACCCAGCUUAUCUAUUGUGUGGAGGGUAUUUCGAUCUAUAACAUCAUGCUAGUGAUCCUGACAUUCACGAGUUGAUGGAUGAUGUUGAAAUAUUCGGGAUCAAGGUCCGCAUGAAAUCAUGAAGAGAAAUCUGGAUGACACACCCUUGAAGAAAGUCUGGGAGGAAGUUUAGAACCGCGAACAAGCAAUAUCCCCAGGUUUAUUGAUUACAAUGGCUUGAAGUUAAUCGGCAUGGAAGAAUGCAAACCUUUAAUCGAGGCAGGGCUAUCCAUUCUAAAGUUCUCCGAAGAAGAAGUAAAUGUAGAAGGGAGUAAAGGAGGUCCCACUGCUUUAGCCAAAAAUAAGCUUGUAACAGUUCCAAGCAAGAGCAAAUCGACCCAAGGUAAUUCAUAACUACUUUUCAGGACUAUGUGUUUGUAUUUUGCAGCCUUUAAGAUCUUUGUGUGGGAUUCCUCUUACUAUCCAGGCAAAGUGGUGGCUGUGCAUGGGCCGCAUCCAAAUUUUGGGUCUGGACAAUCAGGAAUUGGAAGAGCAUUUCAUUUGCGGAUUAAUGACAACAUAUGGUUGGAACAAUCCCAAAACUGGAAGUGAUUACAAGACAGCCGUAUGUGGCCUCAUUGUGAAUCCAAUAAGAAAUGUAAAUUAUAAAUAUCUAUUAUUAUCUUAUAGACUAUUGAGUUUUAGUGGCUUUCAACAUGAUUUAGUACAGUGCUAGCUAAAUCAUAUUAAUUUUCAUAAAGAAGCUCAAGCUUAAGGGAAUAGAAUAUAUAUAUAUUGAUCGUAGCAAUACAACACAAAAUGAAUAUUCCAGUUAAUAUAUUGAUAAAAUUUAAAUUUCUACUAAUCUUGAAUAUAAACCAUUAAGCGUGCUUAAACGUACACAUGCUUGUUGAUCCUACGUUUGACGUGAUGUGACAAAAGUGUAUGAUUUCAGCCAUUGCGGCCUUAAGUCUAUUGUAACAUGUGCUGCUGGGCUGAUUUGAGGACCUCGCUGAUGGUUUGCGAUGAAGGCAGCGAAUUCUUCCAGAGGAGGAGCUGUCUCCCAUCGAUAGUAAGACUCAUGCGAUGCCGAACUAUUGAAGUAAUAGUUGCAGCACCAAUUGAGAAGCGCGAGGAAGGACUCGUUUUUUUCAUGAGAGGAGCAAUCGUCCUGUGCUGGCCUUGUCGUCGUUCUCCUGGAGAGUUUCCGGACGAAGCUCUCCAAAACUGUCAUGUUGAUUUGCCCUUCCACAUCAAUGAGGAACUCUCCAAUCUCCGAGAAAACCUCCUUGUAUGUCGCUUGCAGUAUGUUGACACCACCUUUCACGCUGGGAAAACCCACGUUUGGGAGAAAGUCAUUCCCGAGGAAGAAGCACAUGAACACGAAGUCCCUCAUUGCGGAUCUCGAUCUCACUUUGGAGGGCUCCUUCAUUUCAACCUCCAAGUCCCGAAUCAGCUUGUCAAUCCUUAAAAUCUUGUAAUCCAUGCCUCCUUCCUUCCUGGGCGUUUGCCUGAGAAUGUUGAUCUUCUUCGAGACCGGGCUGGCCAGGGAAUGCAUGAUUAAAUCCGCAUCACGUCCAACCACGCAGAAAGUGUCGUGGGCGUUGAAAGGCACAGUCUUGAUGUGCUUGAAGAUCUUGUACUCUCCCUCUCCAUCCUCCUCCGUUGUCGAGAGAAUCCACUUCAUCCUUGGAUGGGCACUGCUCAUUCUAGCUACAAGACCUCGCAGUUCCCUCACCACACCGUCCAUGAAUGGCGUUCCAUGGCAAACCAUCGCGAACCUUUCCUUUUCGUUCUUUGGAAGAAACCGAUCAUCCACGGAUGACGGAUCCAGCUCCUCCUCCUUCGAAACAGUACCUUGCCCGUUGGACUUCUUAAAGAUCUUGUGGAAAGUCUUUGCAGCUGGAGGCCUUCCAUCGAGAGCCAAGAACACAAGCUUGCUGGGCGACGCGAUACUCAAGAUGGUGUGCAUGGAAUCCACGAACUCUCGAUAGAAGCCGGCGAAGGUGGCGGGGUAGUCCUCCCUCUCCAAAAUCACAAAGAUGGCGGAGCCUACAUCUACGUACAAGUUGGCGCAUGUUGAAAGCAGCCCCGUGUUGGCAUCACAAACGCAGUCCGGGUGUUCUUUCAAAACCGAUGCAAAAUAGACUGGAAUUCCCAUCUGAGAGACAAGGGUUUCUACAGCAUUGGAUCCUUUUAUAAUCCAGGCAUCCUUAACCUUUUCCCUAUAUAAACUAAAAGGCAGUUAACAUUAACCACGUUUUAACUACAGCUUUAAACCUUAAACUUCCAUUCAAUAGAGAUGCUUGGAGUUUUCGUGAUUUUUCCAAGCUCUCGAGCACAUCCUCGUCUCUGGGUCAUACUCCCACAAGCCUGCUCGCGUUUGUCUCUCGAUCUUUUGCUGGUGUCCGGUCUUCCAGUUGUUGUGGAGAAUCACACAGCCAAGUCUCUGGCAAGUUCCUCUCACGUCUUUGCUGUCCCAGAUGAGCUUGUAGGCUCCGUUUGGAUACCGCCAGCGAUCCAGGAACUCGACUGUGAGAUUGGUCUCCGGCUCCACACACGAAGAAUUGCCUUUCCUGUGCUUCCCAUCCUCGCCGCACAAAACGUCGUAGAAGCUUGGCUGCUCCGAGAGCUUCGACUUGGCGGCGUGCUUGACGAUCUUGCGGAAGGAAACUAUGGUGGCGUUGUCCGACCACGCGAAGUAGAAGCCGGAAUUCAGUCGGCGAGGGAGAUUAACAGCUUCUGGAAAGAGUGUGAUAUAGAUGAGAGCUAAACUUCCAAACGUACCAUACCUUUCUCAUUGUACUCGUCCGUUUGUGCUGCUAGAACUCCCGGCCCGAAAGCCAUGAGCUCUCGAAUCGGGCUGCUAAACCAAUACACGUCCACGUCGCUGAAGAGAACGCUGUAGCCAAGCUCCAGAAUUCGCAGCACGGUUCUAGACUUGGACUUGGUCACUGUUUUAAAGCAGCUACUUCCAAACGUGCAGUCCUUGGAAUCACUUCUCCCAGACUCCGUUCGAAAUACAGGCAAUCCCUGCGAUAGAGUUUUUCCAGGUCUUAGAACUUCACAAAGAGCAAAGAGAAAUAAACAGUGACUUACUUGUAGAAUCCCGAACUGGUACAUUUCCUUGUCAAUGGUGGCUACCAGAUAGUUCGUAACGUUGAGAUGGCGAAGGCGGCACACCCAGCUCAUUAGCAUGUCCCUGUAGCUGUGACUUACGACUGUGAGCACCACUACCUUGUCCGGACUGGAAACUUUGAGCAGCAAUGACUCGAGCUGGUACGAAUAGCCACUGGUGAUCGAAGAGAGAUUUCCAGAAACCUGGUGCUGCGAUGAAGAACAAUCUAGCUGUGGAGCUGAAAGUUUCCCGCAGGAACUCUCACUUUCGUGGACAUAGCGCCGGAAACUCGUCAUUAAGGCCUGGCUUCUCCCUCCAGCGUCACAGCUUUGAUGGCACAGCUGCGAUCCACAAGGGAAGAGCCUGGCUACCGGCUGGUUUGAGAAAUGUGGUGGCUUGAAAGCGUAGGAGCCGUAAGUUCUCGCUAGUCGAGCAUUGGCAUCAACUUCCCAGGAGCUCGAUGGUGGUGCUUGGAUUGUGUCGUUGCUCAAGAGUAUCUGGAACGCUCCAAGUGCUUCACUCACGUCAAUCACCACCCGCAGCUCUGAUGCU